GCAGCGGAAAUUAUUAUAUGAAACUACAGCAACAUCCUCCCUCAGCCUCGCACGACACCACCUGCCGCUCAACCUGCAAAAGGUUUUGAAAACAAUUGCAGGGCUGAGUACUAAUAUACUCAGUGGGUUUAGCCAUUUGAAAACAUUUGAAAAUCCAUUUAAAAGAAUAAUCCAUGCUAUGAGCAGUAUAACAUAGAAAUAUUUGAAAGCAUUCCAUGCAUACUUAAAAUAAAUUUGUGGAUCCAUUUCCAGUCUUCUCUCUAUUGGUGCUUCACCUAUAAUGUGAACAUGUGGGAGCAGCCCACAGAGGUCCACUACCAUGCAUGUUUCAGAAAUGAGAGCAACCCAAGUCUGACAGUCUGAGGCAAGUGGGAGCAGCCCACAAUACCCCUUUGUGUGUACACAAUCCUAGCCAGGGCGAUCCAAUCGCUACGCCGGCUAGGACCCGAUCGUUAGAUAACAUAGGAGCACUUUAAACAAUAGAGAUAUAAGAAAUAUUUUAACAUGGAUAUUAAUUUGCAUUUGCAUAAUACAAGUAGAGUUCAAUAACUCAAAGCAUACUUUGGAAAAUAAAACCCACCUUGAUAGGACAAGCCUGUAGAUAAAAUUUGCACAAUUCUCUUCUUGUAAAACCAGUGCUAAAACCUUCUAUCAAGUGAACCUACAACAUAAUCUAAUCUUAAUAGUCGCAAAAUAUCGUACGAGCUAACAAUUCUACCAAGCUGCUAAAUCUUAAUAUUCUGCGCCCGGAUUUUCAAAACUCAAUUGGAAAUCUUAAAAAAAAAUCGAAUUUAUAAAAAUACUUUUAUUGCAUUAUUCACUAUGCAAAUUCAUAUUAUAUCUCAAGAUCACAUAAAGUAAAUAAUUAUACACAUAAGAAUAAUCAAUCAAACUCAAAUUAUAGAGCCUAAUUAAUCAGACCAUUAAAUCAUUAUUCAAAUUAAUCAAGACUCGACUAAAUAAUU
rnacentral:lncRNA from 1 species